GGGUUCCUGGGGCUCCAUCCUGACUCACACAGAACCAACAUGGCGUGUGGGCUGAGCUGGCUUCUCCUGGUGGCUGUGUUAGGAGGGGUCCAGUGUGAGGUACAGCUGGUGGAGUCUGGGGGAGACUUGGUGAAGCCUGGGGGAUCCCUGAGACUCUCCUGUGCAGCCUCUGGAUUCAAUUUUGGCGGCUCUUCAAUGAACUGGGUCCGCCAGGCUCCAGGGAAGGGCCUAGAGUGGGUUUCACACAUUAAUACUGGUGGUGAUACAUACUAUGCAGACUCUGUGAAGGGCCGAUUCACCAUCUCCAAAGACAACAGCAAGAACACGCUCUCUCUGCAAAUGAGCAGCCUGAGGGAGGAGGACACGGCCCUGUACUACUGUGUGAGAGACACAGUGAGGGGAAGGCCCUGUGGGCCCAGACAAAAACCACCUGCAGGAGGAAGCAGGGAACAGCUCUUUAACCUCAUCGUCGAGAUGCAUAGUUUCAUCAAAACGUGGCAAAAUAAUUCUCACAACAUCUGGACAGUGCAGUCAACCAUGUCAACCAUGGUUGUCAGUGCUGUCAACCAUGAUGUGGAGCAAUGA